rfam:Clostridium sp. CAG:921 genomic scaffold, scf246
UGCUGGUAUUAAAAUAAACCCAAGACAGUAGGUGGAAUAUUAUUCCAUAAUUCCUACCGAGGUUAAGAAUAUAAACGUGAACGUUGUAAAGUUUUUGUUUGAUACUUAAUCUUGGUAGUGUCUUGCAGAAACUUUUUUUACGAUUUA